rnacentral:lncRNA from 1 species
UUUCCACAGUUUAUUACAAAUCCAUUGAACAGUCUGGAAUGUAUGGAGUUAGAGAGAAAGAUCAGGAAAAAUGGUUGACUAGCAAAAACUAAGGGCAUCUCGCUCAGUUUCCCACUUGAGCUGUUUGAAACUUGCAUUAUCUCUGUUAGCUAUGGCAUUCAUGCCAAUAGUAUCAAACUUGGAGCCCAUAUUCUCAUCCAGCAGAUGGCCAAACUCCUCAGCAGAGACAAACAGGCUGGAGUCAUUGAAACUUUUCUUCUUUUUCGA